UUACUAUUAUUAUUUUAUAAAUUUCCCCAGAUUAUAAAGGUAGAAUGGCGAGUAGGUAUCUUCUCUUCUCUAUAGCCAAAGGGAUCUUUUUAAAACAGAAGUCAGGUCAGGUCCAUCCUCGAUCAAAAUGCUUCAAUGGCUUUCUGCCUCAUUCAAAAUCAAAGCCAAUACUAGGCCCUACUUGAUCCAAACUCCCUCAUCCCCAACCUUCUGCUCAUUUCCUGCUAUUCAUCUUCUCUCUCACUCUAUUCCAGCCUUCAUUCACCUCCGUGUUGUUCCUGGAAUGUGUCAAAUAUGCUGUCACUUUCAGGCCCUUAUAAGUACUGCUCCCUCUAGCUGAAACAUUCUUUUCCCAGAGUCAAAAACUUUUCCUGACCACUCAUUAUAAAAGAGCAAUCACCCUAACCCCUGGCACCCUAUACCCCCUUUACCUGAUUUAUUCGCCUCUAUAGUACUUAUUACCACCCAACAUAAAUAACAUAAAUUUACCUUUUGGUGAUAACAGAAUAUAUAGGGCUUAACUAAAUAUAACGAUUGCUAAUUGAAAAUUUCUCCUAUUACUUUAUUGUGCUGGCUUAGAAAACAGUGACGUACAUUAGCAAAGCCUUUCAAUUUUUAAGAUUAAUCAGGCAGAAUCUUCAUAGUCAGAUGAAUCUAUGUAAUACAUUACAUUAAAUGGGUUAGAUCCUUUCUCACAGAAAUUAACAAAUAAUUUUGAAGUGUGUUUAAGGCUUAUAUAUUAUCAUAUUAGUAGCUCCUUCAAAAGACAACAAACACUUGACACACAUACCUGUUCUAGUAGUGAACUUCAACAAAGAGAGUUUUCUCUGUGAGGAAGGCUAGAGAUAAAAGGGAAAAGAAAACCGGCUUCUACAGGAGGAUCCUGAAAAUGUUACCUCCCACUUUUUGAAAAAACCCUCUUUGAGGAUUUUUAUAGGCAUAGAGACUUGGUUUAAGUCUGUCGUGUGUGUGCCCUUUGACUUAGAAAAGGGAUCAAUUGAAAUAAAGAUAUGUGUCCUGAUUCUCAUCGACAGAUGAAAGAGCAAAACAUUAGGCUAGUAUCACAUCUAGGGAAGAGAGAAGAGAGAAAUAUUAGAACACAGGUAAAGAGAAAUAAACAACAAGAGAAGAAAUAGUUGUCCUGUGAGGCUUAGCCUGUGGGCUUCUAUAUACCUAGUACCUGAAAUAUAGAGGUAUAAAUCAAACACUUAUUAGCUAGCCCCACAGGAACAAACUGAU
rnacentral:lncRNA from 1 species